CUAUCCACAUCAGUUUGUCAUCAUCAUUCUGACUGCAAUGGACACAUCUGUCCCUCUGAUAAACACCCUUACUGCAAAAUCGAUAGAUAUUCCUCAACAUGUGAUUGUACAGGUAUUAAGUGUCCUACAUGUGAUGAAUCAUUAAACUGCGUGUGGAAUCAGACAUGUUAUCCGGAGGAGAGUUGUAUGAUACGAAGCUAUCAAGGAACAAAGUCCACAACGCAUUGUACAAGGAAAGAGGACUGCUCUUUUAUAAAGAACUUGUUGAAAAAUGGAGAAGUCUUCUGUUGUAAUGACCGGGAUUGCUUACGAUCUUACCUUGGAUUAUA